CUUUGGCUUUUUCUACUGUUAUUUUCACUUUCGCCAUCCAUUCACUUCACGUUCGUAUAAAUUUUCGUGUGAAAAAUCGACUUUUUAACUUUGAGCAGUUGUCUUCUUUCCAAAAGCUUUUGACGGAUAGAUUACUCCACCGUUAUGCGCAUACUCGGAACAAGUUGCAUACAUUUAGCGUACGAUAAAGCUUUUUAUAUUGCUUUCCAAAAAACAGCGUUGCAUUUGGUUGUUCAUAAGCAGCUGAUUGCGACUUCCUUCAACUCUUCCUUUUCCGGAACAAUAUAUAAUAUUUUAUAAUUUAUAAUUAUCAAAUACAGUGAAAGCUCUAUUAAACGGAUGCUCUAUUAAGCGCACAUCUGCACA